AUCCAGCUGACAAGUCCCAAAUGGGACGAAAUAGGCAUCCUGGAU
rfam:Schistosoma mattheei strain Denwood, Zambia genome assembly, scaffold: SMTD_scaffold0002391